CAGGUGUGAAUGAUGAAGGCAUGAGUCUGUCUCCCUCGGCAUGAGUCUGUCUCCCUAGAGGUCCAUUAAACCAUCCUAUUCUUAUCCAGGUGUGAAUGAUGAAGGCAUGAGUCUGUCUCCCUAGAGGUCCAUUAAACCAUCCUAUUCUUAUCCAGGUGUGAAUGAUGAAGGCAUGAGUCUGUCUCCCUAGAGGUCCAUUAAACCAUCCUAUUCUUAUCCAGGUGUGAAUGAUGAAGGCAUGAGUCUGUCUCCCUAGAGGUCCAUUAAACCAUCCUAUUCUUAUCCAGGUGUGAAUGAUGAAGGCAUGAGUCUGUCUCCCUAGAGGUCCAUUAAACCAUCCUAUUCUUAUCCAGGUGUGAAUGAUGAAGGCAUGAGUCUGUCUCCCUCGGCAUGAGUCUGUCUCCCUAGAGGUCCAUUAAACCAUCCUAUUCUUAUCCAGGUGUGAAUGAUGAAGGCAUGAGUCUGUCUCCCUAGAGGUCCAUUAAACCAUCCUAUUCUUAUCCAGGUGUGAAUGAUGAAGGCAUGAGUCUGUCUCCCUAGAGGUCCAUUAAACAAGAAAGAUGGCUCGUCAUUUUCAGUAGGACACGCAACGGAAAAUAAAAUUAGCGUUUAUUUUUGUUUCAGUCUUUUGUCUUCUGUUUUGUGCCCAAUCAACACGACCCUUUAGGUUGGCAUCAAGAACAAGCAAACGUAGCAAGAGACUGCCAAGAUUGAACAGCUGAUGGUUAUCAUG